rnacentral:rRNA from 1 species
ACAGGGAGGGCGAGCAUUAUUCAUCGUUACUGGGCGUAAAGCGUGUUGAGGCGGCUUGUUCAAUUGGAUAUGAAAGUCUAGAGCUAAACUGUAGAAUAAUAUCACGAAAUUGACACAGCUAUCGAAUUGGGUUUAGGUGGGAGGAAUUUUUGGUGUAGGAUUCAACUCUGACAUAUUGAAAGGAACUCCUGUAGGCGAUAGCAUCUUUCCGAACCCAAUUGACGCUGUCGCACUAAAGUGUGGGGAGCAAACAGGA